rnacentral:misc_RNA from 1 species
GAUGAAGAACGUAGCGAAAUGCGAUACGUAAUGUGAAUUGCAAAUUCAGUGAAUCAUCGAGUCUUUGAACGCACAUUGCGCCCCCUGGUAUUCCGGGGGGCAUGCCUGUCCGAGCGUCAUUGCUGCCCUCAAGCACGGCUUGUGUGUUGGGCCCCGUCCUCCGAUCCCGGGGGACGGGCCCGAAAGGCAGCGGCGGCACCGCGUCCGGUCCUCGAGCGUAUGGGGCUUUGUCACCCGCUCUGUAGGCCCGGCCGGCGCUUGCCGAUCAACCCAAAUUUUUUAUCCAGGUUGACCUCGGAUCAGGUAGGGAUACCCGCUGAACUUAAGCAUAUUAAUAAGCGGAGGA